CUCAUAGGAUGUGGCCUUUCCUUUAGAAAAUGCCACAGACUUCUGGCUCGUGUCUUAAAAAAAAGAGUGACUUUCUAACAUAUAUUCAGGUAAGUUUCUACAUUUGUUCCUCAGAUUUUAAAAGCCUAAUUUCCGAAGCUGACUUCUCAUUCUGAAGUCACUGGGCGUGCUCGAGUGUGUCCUCUGCGCCGCCCCGACGCGCCUCUGUGGAGCCGACGGAUGCCAUCAACAGUGGGCCCCGAGACUGCGGGCAAGCGACAGGGCCGGCUUCAAGGUUCUGGAUCCAGUGCCUUGCAGUCAUGCAGAGCUGCCCAUAAUGGUUAUUUAUGUGCUUGCAUGCGACUUGCUGAAGAGGAUAUACACGUAGUGAGGAACUCUACACCCAGCUAAAUUAAAAUCUAAAUAAAGGAAUAUUAACAAAAAUUAUGCA
rnacentral:lncRNA from 12 species